rnacentral:rRNA from 1 species
CCUACGGGGGGCUGCAGUGGGGAAUAUUGGACAAUGGGGGCAACCCUGAUCCAGCCAUGCCGCGUGUGUGAAGAAGGCCCUCGGGUUGUAAAGCACUUUCAGUGAGGAAGAACGCCUGGUGGUUAAUACCCAUCAGGAAGGACAUCACUCACAGAAGAAGCACCGGCUAACUCCGUGCCAGCAGCCGCGGUAAUACGGAGGGUGCGAGCGUUAAUCGGAAUUACUGGGCGUAAAGCGCGCGUAGGUGGCUUGAUAAGCCGGUUGUGAAAGCCCCGGGCUCAACCUGGGAACGGCAUCCGGAACUGUCAAGCUAGAGUGCAGGAGAGGAAGGUAGAAUUCCCGGUGUAGCGGUGAAAUGCGUAGAGAUCGGGAGGAAUACCAGUGGCGAAGGCGGCCUUCUGGACUGACACUGACACUGAGGUGCGAAAGCGUGGGUAGCAAACAGGAUUAGAUACCCCUGUAGUC